GUAGUUUGAUCGUGGCUCAGGAUGAACGCUGGCGGCGUGCCUAAUACAUGCAAGUCGAGCGAACAGACGAGGAGCUUGCUCCUCUGACGUUAGCGGCGGACGGGUGAGUAACACGUGGAUAACCGUACCUAUAAGACUGGGAUAACUUCGGGAAACCGGAGCUAAUACCGAAUAAUAUAUUGAACCGCAUGGUUCAAUAGUGAAAAACGGUUUUGCUGUCACUUAUAGAUGGAUCCGCGCCGCAUUAGCUAGUUGGUAGGGUAACGGCUUACCAAGGCGACGAUGCGUAGCCGACCUGAGAGGGUGAUCGGCCACACUGGAACUGAGACACGGUCCAGACUCCUACGGGAGGCAGCAGUAGGGAAUCUUCCGCAAUGGGCGAAAGCCUGCGGAGCAACGCCGCGUGAGUGAUGAA
rnacentral:rRNA from 1 species